rnacentral:rRNA from 1 species
UACGGAGGGUGCAAACGUUGCUCGGAAUCAUUGGGCGUAAAGCGAACGUAGGCGGCUAUGUAAGUCGGGUGUGAAAGCCCUCGGCUCAACCGAGGAAGUGCAUUCGAAACUGCAUGGCUUGAGUAUCGGAGAGGAUAGCGGAAUUCCCGGUGUAGAGGUGAAAUUCGUAGAUAUGGGGAGGAACACCGGCGGCGAAGGCGGCCACCUGGACGGUCACUGACGCUGAGACGGCGAAAAGCUAGG